GCCAGGCAUGGUGGUGCAUGCCUGUAAUCCCAGCUACUUGGGAGGCUGAGGCAGGAGGAUCGCUUGACCCAGGGAGGCAGAGGUUGCAGUGUGCCAAGAUUGUGCCAUUGCACUCCAGCCUGGGCAAUAGAGUGAGACUCUGUCUCAA
rnacentral:SRP_RNA from 1 species